CUUGUUCUAGUUAGGUUCAUUCUUUUUUACUGUGAACUGUUUUAAUUUUCAGCGUUUGAGGAAUGUCUUUUAGUCAUAGGGAUAGACUAUUAGAAUGUUAACCGAGCUGAAGUCAGGUUUAGACCUGGUAUCCUAUUAAUUAUUUACCAAAAGAAUUCAGUAUUAUUAUUGUAACAUAAGCGUAAAAAACUUAUAAAACAACUUUUAACAACGGAUCUCUUGGUUCUCGCAUCGAUGAAGAACGUAGCAAAGUGCGAUAACUAGUGUGAAUUGCAUAUUCAGUGAAUCAUCGAGUCUUUGAACGCAACUUGCGCUCAAUGGUAUUCCAUUGAGCACGCCUGUUUCAGUAUCAAAAACACCCCACAUUCAUAAUUUUGUUGUGAAUGGAACUGAGAAUUUCGACUUGUUUGAAUUCUUUAAACUUAUUAGGCCUGAACUAUUGUUCUUUCUGCCUGAACAUUUUUUUAAUAUAAAGGAAUGCUCUAGUAUUAAGACUAUCUCUGGGGCCUCCCAAAUAAAACUUUCUUAAAUUUGAUCUGAAAUCAGGCGGGAUUACCCGCUGAA
rnacentral:rRNA from 1 species